UACGGGGGGGGCUAGCGUUGUUCGGAAUUACUGGGCGUAAAGGGCGCGUAGGCGGUCUAUUAAGUUGGAUGUGAAAACUCUGGGCUUAACCCAGAGCCUGCAUUCAAAACUGAUAGGCUGGAGUUCUGGAGGGGAUAGCGGAAUUCCUGGUGUAGCGGUGAAAUGCGUAGAUAUCAGGAGGAACACCGGUGGCGAAGGCGGCUAUCUGGACAGAAACUGACGUGAGGCGCGAAAGCGUGGGGAGCAAACAGG
rnacentral:rRNA from 1 species